rnacentral:rRNA from 1 species
AUUAAACGCUGGCGGCAUGCCUUACACAUGCAAGUCGAACGGCAGCACGGGGGCAACCCUGGUGGCGAGUGGCGGACGGGUGAGUAAAGCAUCGGAACGUAUCCUGGAGGUGGGGGAUAACGUAGCGAAAGUUACGCUAAUACCGCAUAUUCUGUGAGCAGGAAAGCAGGGGGAUCGCAAGACCUUGCGCUCUGGGAGCGGCCGAUGUCGGAUUAGCUAGUUGGUGGGGUAAAGCCUACCAAGGCGGCGAUCCGUAGCGGGUCUGAGAGGAUGAUCCGCCACACUGGGACUGAGACACGGCCCAGACUCCUACGGGAGGCAGCAGUGGGGAAUUUUGGACAAUGGGCGCAAGCCUGAUCCAGCCAUGCCGCGUGAGUG